rnacentral:rRNA from 1 species
UACAGAGGUCUCAACCGUUGUUCGGAUUCAUUGGGCGUAAAGGGUGCGUAGGCGGUCGCGCAAGUCGGAUGUGAAAUCUUAGGGCUCAACCCUGAAACUGCAUUCGAUACUGCGUGGCUCGAGUACUGGAGAGGAGACUGGAAUUUACGGUGUAGCAGUGAAAUGCGUAGAUAUCGGGAGGAACACCGGUGGCGAAGGCGGCCUUCUGGUCGGAUACUGACACUAAAACGCGAAAGCGUGGGGAGCAAACAGG